AGCCACAGCAACAAUGACCCAGAAUAAGUUAGAAAAUGGGCCAAGAAAGUCCAGGCACAGAAGCAAACCAGUGUCAAGGGACUCGCCAUUGCCAAUGUUUGUGCUCUGCCAAGGCCUCCUGCAGCUCUGCCAACUCCUGUACAGCGCCUACUUCAAGAGCAGCCUC
rnacentral:sRNA from 1 species